ACUCCUACGGGAGGCAGCAGUGGGGAAUAUUGGACAAUGGGGGCAACCCUGAUCCAGCAAUGCCGCGUGAGUGAUGAAGGCCUUCGGGUUGUAAAGCUCUUUUGGCGGGGACGAUGAUGACGGUACCCGCAGAAUAAGCCCCGGCUAACUUCGUGCCAGCAGCCGCGGUAAUACGAAGGGGGCUAGCGUUGUUCGGAAUUACUGGGCGUAAAGGGCGCGUAGGCGGUCCUGAUCGUCGGAUGUGAAAGGCCUGGGCUCAACCUGGGAACUGCAUCCGAUACGGCGGGACUGGAGUGUGGGAGAGGUUGGUGGAAUUCCCAGUGUAGAGGUGAAAUUCGUAGAUAUUGGGAAGAACACCGGUGGCGAAGGCGGCCAACUGGACCACAACUGACGCUGAGGCGCGAAAGCGUGGGGAGCAAACAGGAUUAGAUACCCUGGUAGUCCACGCUGUAAACGAUGCGUGCUAGACGUUGGGCACCCUAGGUGUCCGGUGUCGUCGCUAACGCUUUAAGCACGCCGCCUGGGGAGUACGGCCGCAAGGUUAAAACUCAAAGGAAUUGACGG
rnacentral:rRNA from 1 species